GGGGACAUAGCUCAGUUGGUGGAGUGCUUGCUUCGUGCACAAGGCCCUGGGUUCAAUCCCCAGCACCA
rnacentral:tRNA from 1 species